rnacentral:lncRNA from 1 species
CCUAGCUCCUGAAAAUGGGCCACCCCACCCCACCACCUGGCACCCAGGAGCAUCAAGCAUUGAAAGCAGGCGCCAUCUGCGUGUGAAUGGGGAAACCGAGGCCCGAGCACGAACGGGACUUCGGGGUCGCACCGAGAAAACCCAGAAGAUACAAAACAGCACUCCCUUGUCUGGAAUUCACCUAUAAGCCCCGGGAAGGCAGGUCACUCCGCACUCAGCCUGGGGCUCUCAGAGGGGCAGAGAGAACUACAAGGACCGGAAGUUGAGGGGCAGACUUCAGUGCAGAACUCCGGGAGGAGGCCGCCCCGGGUCACCCACAGGCCUCCGCUGCCACCAGCCCAGACGCUGGGUGACUCUGGAGAAGUCUCCUGGGACCACGCAGCAUCAAGGGCACAGGCAGGUCCCAGGAUAUCCUCGACGCCAGGGCCUCAGGCACCUCCAGGUGCUGACCAUUGGCUGCCCCCGGCCAUGCGGGUUGUCUGGGGAGGAGACCGAGGGGACAGAGCCCUCCCACCCCGCAAAGCCACCGCUUCCGCUUCCUGCCUCCGCCUGUGCCAGCGCCUACUGCGCGCAGACCUCUGACCCCGGCUGGUGCCGACCGAGAACCUGACCCUCCGCACGGUGACCCUCCGGUCACCGUCGCAGGCAGGGAGGGCGGAGACCGCGACCCAAGGGUCAGGGCUGGGGCCGCCAAGGCAUGCGCGUGUCCAGCUGUUUGUCCAUCUGCUUCCUGUGUCGCCCCGGCCUCUGGGUCUCUGUCAUUCCGGACGUCCACCCUGUGCUCCGUCCCCACCCGUGCCCCAGCUUCCCUCCCCCACUCCUGCCCCGGUCCCUCCCCC